CAUAAUUGAUUUAAAAAAAAAAGCUUGAUAGUGCCCGUCUCAUAUCAGCCAGGAACAAAGCAACCCCUUGCUUAUCCCAGCUUGGCUUUCAGUGUAUGCCCACUCCUGGUUUAUGAUUUGGACACAUAG